AAGGAAAGGUGCUGGGUUCAAAACAAAAGAAAUUAACAGCAAGCGCGGGGUGGAUGUUCAAAAAAACCACAAACCUGAUUUCAUGGAAACACACCUUUCCCGAGAGCAGUGAUUCUCAGCUCGGGAGAUGCAGGGAGAGCCCCCAAUUAGCCAACGGUUUCAUUUUCUCCUCGUGGGUUAAAAUGAUUAGUUUAUGUUUAAUGUUGUGUCGAGGCAUUAUUUACCUGCAGUCUGAGGCUGUAGUGAGCUAUGACUGCACCACUGCACUCCACCUGGGUGACAGAGUGAGACAGUGUCUCUUCCAGAGCCACAGUCUUAGAGUGGCCUGUAAGUCCUGGCAUGGUGCCUGGCACACUGUGGGUGCCCAGCAGGUGUUUGUCCAAUGAAUGUGCGGAAGGGCUUCUGAGCUUGCUCACCGUUGCCGCUCCCUGCUCCAGCCGCACAGAGUCCCAGCACCUGUUCCCCUGCCCCUCUGCUAUCCACAGUGCCUCCCUCAGCUCCUGACCACUGCAAAGCCUCUUCCCCACUUCCCUGUGCCUGAAAACCUUCUUUCCCCAGCUCCCCAACCCACGUUUUGCCUGGCUAAUCCAUUUGUUAAACCUCAACUCAGCUUAUAUCUCCUGUCCUCAGGGGGCCCUUCCUGGAUGCUCCCCCGCCCCCUACAUUCAAUCUGCCGGUUGCUGCUUUUUUAGUGUUCUGCACUCUUCUACCAGGACCCCGUGGCAGGCCAGGACCGUUUCUCCGGUGCUAUCCCAGAGCAUGGCGCAUCCACUCAUUCACUCAAGGUAUCAAGCUCCACUGUGUUCUGGGGACUGGGCCAGGCGCAAGCCCAGGCAUGGAAUCAUCACACAGAAUUGUACGUUUGCAGUGUGAUGGGAGCCACGGGGGAGAGGCCACAUCCACCCGGGGGAAACAGAGCCUCCUAGUCAAGGCUGGAUGUGCAGUGGAGCCCUGUCUGGACAGGCUACCCCUCCUGACGAGGUGGGAGGUGUUGGCGUGGGCAGAGGAGCCAAUCUUGAAUUCUCUCCCCCGCUCCACCUCAAGCUGCCAUGUGGAAUUGCAGGAGACCCUGGAGGGAGCAGAAAACCAGGCUCGGCCGAAGCCACCUCCACACCACGGUUUCCUGGGUUCCCCAAAACCAGGCUUGGCCGAAGCCACCUCCACACCACAGCUUCCCGGGUUCGCUGUGUCUGCUUCUGUUCUUAUUCCUGAUUAGCUGUGCCCCCACCCGGCCAGGUCAGGGCACAGUGAGACUCCCCAUGGUGGCAGGCGUGUGAAGUCUGUGCAGGCUUGUACGUGGCUGGCCCCCCACCUGAACUGUACGCCCCUGGAAGGCAGGGUCCGUGUUUUGUUCACGGAGGCUGGUGAUACCCAGAGGACAUUGGCUGGCUGGCUGGCUGGCCGGGGGCGAGACGCACACAGAGAACUUGAGGAUUGUGGAUUGGAGGAAACUUUGCAUUCUUGCCCAUACCACAAAUUUCUGACUUAAAACACUGCUGUGCCCCAGUUCAGUAUUUGCCUUUGACAAACACUGUAGGGCCAGUGAGAAAGUUGAAGAGAUUUUUCAACUGACUAGCAGUCGGUAGACCCGUUAACUGAGGCCACCCCGGCCAGAGCACAUUGCAUUCCUGCCAACAGAUGGUGGCCUGUAUGAUGACAGGGCCUCUCUUGCAUAUGGCCUUUUAUAAUUAAAAGAAAGAAGUAAUAGGUAGAAAGAGAGAGAGAGAGGGAGAAGGCAGGGGAAAAAAAGCUUGCAGCAUGCUUUUAAAAUGUCAUCGCACCACUGCACUCCAGCCUGGGUGACAGAGUGAAACUUUGUCAAAAAAAAAAAAAAAGUUCUCUUUGAAUUGACCUAAACUAAUGUUUUCUUAAUAGCCCACCCUCUCCUAUCCUCUCGGUCCACCCGACUUAGCUGGGCAAAAAUAACCCUGUGGUAGGACAGCCGUCUGC
rnacentral:lncRNA from 1 species